rnacentral:rRNA from 1 species
AGUGAACGCUGGCGGUAGGCCUAACACAUGCAAGUCGAACGGCAGCACAGAGGAGCUUGCUCCUUGGGUGGCGAGUGGCGGACGGGUGAGGAAUACAUCGGAAUCUACUCUGUCGUGGGGGAUAACGUAGGGAAACUUACGCUAAUACCGCAUACGACCUACGGGUGAAAGCAGGGGAUCUUCGGACCUUGCGCGAUUGAAUGAGCCGAUGUCGGAUUAGCUAGUUGGCGGGGUAAAGGCCCACCAAGGCGACGAUCCGUAGCUGGUCUGAGAGGAUGAUCCGCCACACUGGAACUGAGACACGGUCCAGACUCCUACGGGAGGCAGCAGUGGGGAAUAUUGGACAAUGGGCGCAAGCCUGAUCCAGCCAUACCGCGUGGGUGAAGAAGGCCUUCGGGCUGUAAAGCCCUUUUGUUGGGAAAGAAAUCCAUCUGGUUAAUACCCGGGUGGGAUGACGGUACCCAAAGAAUAAGCACCGGCUAACUUCGUGCCAGCCGCCGCAGUAA